rnacentral:rRNA from 1 species
GAUGAACGCUGGCGGCGUGCCUAAUACAUGCAAGUCGAGCGAAUGGAUUAAGAGCUUGCUCUUAUGAAGUUAGCGGCGGACGGGUGAGUAACACGUGGGUAACCUGCCCAUAAGACUGGGAUAACUCCGGGAAACCGGGGCUAAUACCGGAUAACAUUUUGAACCGCAUGGUUCGAAAUUGAAAGGCGGCUUCGUCUGUCACUUAUGGAUGGACCCGCGUCGCAUUAGCUAGUUGGUGAGGUAACGGCUCACCAAGGCACCGUUGCGUAGCCGACCUGAGAGGGUGAUCGGCCAACCUGGGACUGAGACACGGCCCAGACUCCUACGGGAGGCAGCAGUAGGGAAUCUUCCGCAAUGGACGAAAGUCUGACGGAGCAACGCCGCGUGAGUGAUGAAGGCUUUCGGGUCGUAAAACUCUGUUGUUAGGGAAGAACAAGUGCUAGUUGAAUAAGCUGGCACCUUGACGGUACCUAACCAGAAAGCCACGGCUAACUACGUGCCAGCCGCCGCAGUAA